GUGCAUGUCCUCUUGCUCCUGCUGUGUCCUUCCUCUAACUUAGCACUGCGGGAGAGAUGGGGCUCAUGUCUACACAACUUACAUAUUUAUCAAUAGCUGUGCCUGUGCUUGGGGCUCUGACUGUCAAUGGCAUAGCCUGGGCUAUCUUCAUAGGAUCACACUGGGAUUUGCUUAAGCGGGGCUGCAAUACUGUACUCACAUACAGUUGUCAUACUUGUAGGAGGGGACCGCCUCUCUGGGGCGUUACUUUGCUAUUCUCCGCCUCCAGCAUGCCCCGGUGACGCCUCUCUCUGUCCUCUGUCCCUGCAGCGGCUUGAUCACUGGCGGCUGUAGGCGUCUCUGUAACACCGCUCAGUGCGCUCCUGAUCCGGACACCGUGACCCUCGAAUGGGAUUGUACACAGAGUAUUUUAUUGAAAUGGUCUCCGUGGAGAUGGGAUGAUUUAUGGAUAGAGUUGCUGAAUACUUCACGGUAUGAAUAAAAUUAAAAUGGAGAUGC